GAGUUUUCUGCCUUGGCAAAGACUGCAGUUCUCAUGGAUGAGGCUUGUCUUGAAACCCAGGUCUUCUGUCUUGUCUGGUACCUUUCCUAACAUGUGAUUUCUUUCUAGGGUCUAAGAAACUCCUUCCUGUCUGACAAUGCCUCCAAAGUUUUAGGAUUUUCAGGAUUACCUUUAUAUUCUGUUUUACACUGAUGGCUUUGGGAUAAAAUGCCCUGGAAAUAUCUCUCUCCAAAACCAUCCCUAGAGAGAAGUCUGAUACAUUGUGGCACCACAGUCCUCUUCAUCAUCCCUCUGUGAGGUCACCAAGGACUUACAAAGAAAAGGAUCCCCCAUUAAAUGAAAAGACUAGAAAGUGGAGGGACAAUGACCCACCCAGACACCAUAUUUCCUCCUCCAUCCUUUCUCUCCCCAGGGGUCACAAAGUCUAAACUACCCAAUGAGGAAACCGGGGCUGGGGUGAAGUCUACCCAGGAAUCAGGCCCACGGUUGGCUGGACCCACCUCCAGGCUGUCAGGGUCUGCACAGCAAGACAACUGAAGAACAGCAGGGGAGAGAAAGAUUUGCUAAAGAUGUUCAUAUGGAUAGGAGGACAGAAUAACAGCACAGAAACAGAGCCCCACUCAGUCUUUAGAGAAAUAGAUAUCAGGGUUCAACCCUUCCUGCUGUCACUUCGAAACUCAGAGGAAGACAUCUGUUUUGGUGACUGUCCUUUUCCAUUCAGGUGGCUAUGACAAAAUACCAUAAACCACAUAAUUUA